UACGAAGGGGGCUAGCGUUGCUCGGAAUCACUGGGCGUAAAGGGUGCGUAGGCGGGUCUUUAAGUCAGGGGUGAAAUCCUGGAGCUCAACUCCAGAACUGCCUUUGAUACUGAAGAUCUUGAGUUCGGGAGAGGUGAGUGGAACUGCGAGUGUAGAGGUGAAAUUCGUAGAUAUUCGCAAGAACACCAGUGGCGAAGGCGGCUCACUGGCCCGAUACUGACGCUGAAGCGCGAAAGCUAGGGGAGCAAACGGG
rnacentral:rRNA from 1 species